GACCGCAGGAAACUCUGCUCUUCUGCCUGUCAGUACUGGAUGCUGUGAGCUAGGCUCCCAACAACUGGACCUGGGCCACACCGCCUCCGCCUGGAGCAGCAGAGGAGCGGCAACAGCAGGCAAGGGGACUGGCUUGCACUCAAGAUGAGCUGUCACCAUCGGCUCCACUAGUGGAGGCUCAUGGACUCUCCCCUCACCAAAGUGAAGACGGCAAACUUCCCCAGUGCCCUUGAGGUUAGAUCCCCCCACCCAAUAUCUGGACAAUUCCGCAGAGUGAGCGACCUGCACGUCUCCCUCACCUGGACAGCAGCAGCCCUGGCACGGACCACCCAGAAGCCCUCCCCUGCACCUGAUGGGACAGCCCCUGGGGCGCAGGUCUCCCCUGCCACUCCCACUGUGGCCACCAGAACUGAGAUGGGAAAAUCACUAGGACCCAAGGAAGUCAACGAUUUGAACAAACGGAAUUUCUUUGUCCUUUGUAAAAGUCAACACAUGAUCUGUUACUGAUUGGGAUGUGAAAUAAAACUAAAAAUAACAGCACUGAGUCUGGCUCAAGGCUCAGCUCACCUUUAA